GGGCAGGUUGAAGGUUGGGUAACACUAACUGGAGGACCGAACCGACUAAUGUUGAAAAAUUAGCGGAUGACCUGUGGCUGGGGGUGAAAGGCCAAUCAAACCGGGAGAUAGCUGGUUCUCCCCGAAAGCUAUUUAGGUAGCGCCUCGUGAAUUCAUCUCCGGGGGUAGAGCACUGUUUCGGCUAGGGGGCCAUCCCGGCUUACCAACCCGAUGCAAACUGCGAAUACCGGAGAAUGUUAUCACGGGAGACACACGGCGGGUGCUAACGUCCGUCGUGAAGAGGGAAACAACCCAGACCGCCAGCUAAGGUCCCAAAGUCAUGGUUAAGUGGGAAACGAUGUGGGAAGGCCCAGACAGCCAGGAUGUUGGCUUAGAAGCAGCCAUCAUUUAAAGAAAGCGUAAUAGCUCACUGGUCGAGUCGGCCUGCGCGGAAGAUGUAACGGGGCUAAACCAUGCACCGAAGCUGCGGCAGCGAACGUAUCACCCAAGACAACUUUACGGAGUUGACGAUUGACGGAGCGAAGCGACGUCAAAGCGUUCAUUAAAGUCGAGUUGGCUUAGGGAUACGUUCGUUGGGUAGGGGAGCGUUCUGUAAGCCUGUGAAGGUGUGUCGUGAGGCAUGCUGGAGGUAUCAGAAGUGCGAAUGCUGACAUAAGUAACGAUAAAGCGGGUGAAAAGCCCGCUCGCCGGAAGACCAAGGGUUCCUGUCCAACGUUAAUCGGGGCAGGGUGAGUCGACCCCUAAGGCGAGGCCGAAAGGCGUAGUCGAUGGGAAACGGGUUAAUAUUCCCGUACUUGGUGUUACUGCGAAGGGGGGACGGAGAAGGCUAUGUUGGCCGGGCGACGGUUGUCCCGGUUUAAGCGUGUAGGUGUGUGUUCCAGGUAAAUCCGGUUCACUUUAACACUGAGGCGUGAUGACGAGGCACUACGGUGCUGAAGCAACAAAUGCCCUGCUUCCAGGAAAAGCCUCU
rnacentral:rRNA from 1 species